GACGAACGCUGGCGGCGUGCCUAAUACAUGCAAGUAGAACGCUGAAGGAGGAGCUUGCUUCUCUGGAUGAGUUGCGAACGGGUGAGUAACGCGUAGGUAACCUGCCUGGUAGCGGGGGAUAACUAUUGGAAACGAUAGCUAAUACCGCAUAAUAGUAGAUGUUGCAUGACAUUUGCUUAAAAGGUGCAAUUGCAUCACUACCAGAUGGACCUGCGUUGUAUUAGCUGGUUGGUGGGGUAACGGCUCACCAAGGCGACGAUACAUAGCCGACCUGAGAGGGGGGUCGGCCACACUGGGACUGAGACACGGCCCAGACUCCUACGGGAGGCAGCAGUAGGGAAUCUUCGGCAAUAGACGGAAGUCUGACCGAGCAACGCCGCGUGAGUGAAGAAGGUUUUCGGAUCGUAAAGCUCUGUUGUAAGAGAAGAACGAGUGUGAGAGUGGAAAGUUCACACUGUGACGGUAUCUUACCAGAAAGGGGCGGCUAACUACGUG
rnacentral:rRNA from 1 species